rnacentral:rRNA from 1 species
GACGAACGCUGGCGGCGUGCUUAACACAUGCAAGUCGAACGAAGUGGCGAACGGGUGAGUAACGCGUAAUUAACCUGCCCUUCAGAGGGGGACAACAGUUGGAAACGACUGCUAAUACCGCAUACUGAAGGAGGGGAUUGCGUCUGAUUAGCUAGUUGGAGGGGUAACGGCCCACCAAGGCGAGGAUCAGUAGCGGGGCGGAGACGAGGAACGGCCACAUUGGGACUGGGACAGGGCCCAGAGUCCUACGGGAGGCAGAAGCGGGGAAGCUGACGAAAUGGACGAAAGUCUGACGGAGCAACGGCGCGGGAGUGAUGACGGCCUUCGGGUUGUAAAGCGCUGUUAAUCGGGACGCGGUACCGGAAUAGAAAGCAACGGCUAACUACGUGCCAGCAGCCGCGGUAAUUC